CGCCGUAAUUUGAACAAGUAUGAAACAUUACAAUCAUAUUAGUAUCAACCAAUUACGUGUCGUGAACGUCUAAGUUUGUAAGACGUGUUGAAUGUGGAGUGUAGUUUUGUGUUCAUUUUAGUAGUUCUUUGGUUUGAUUGUGAAGUCUAUCCUGUUUUGACAUCUUUUAGAAUUGGAUCAACUACUAAUAGUUAGAUCAUCGAAUAAUGGAUUAUAGCGCAAUUUUCAAUCUAUGAUCCUAAGAGGGUAUUAUGUCGUGUGGUGAUCUGAUGUCGACAUUAGUUGGGUAGAUCUUAGUUGAAGAUAUUUGAGAGGGGAUAGAUGAGAAACACACACCCUCCUUAGCCUCUCAAUCAACCAAAGCCUUAACUACUCGACUAAUGGGUUAUGGUAUCAGCAUAAUACUAGUGUAUGACUCCCACACACCACCAGUUUCAACAUUCUAACAGAAAACUGGUAUCAAUUUUCAACCAAUAUACCCAUUCCCCAGAACCAAUUCUAGAGAAUUCAUUAUUUUUUAUCUUCUUCUUAACCCAAUCAGUCUCUGCCAAAAUUACCAACACAUUAGCUUCUGCAUACGAUGUCUGUCCUUCAACCGGACGACAUCCCAGUUGGGCUUCUUCGCAAAGGCUUGGUUGACUAGUAAUUAGACAGCUACCCAGAAUUGGUGUUAUGUUAUGAGGAAGAACAGAAUAUCUGUAUCAAAAGAGAUCGAGGUGCUAGUCUUGGAGUCAGAGUUUACUUGCAAUUCAUUCAUGAGAUCCAAUUUGCAUCACACUUACUUUAUUUAAUUUUUUUUAUAUUUUUUAGCUAACGUAGGAUUUCAAAUGUACUCUCUUAAUGAUAGAAUAUCUUAAGGGUGAGACUGAAUAUUUAUAGGUAGGCUAGCACAGUCUCUUAGAAUGUGGCACCAUAACUCCGACAACAAUUGAUAGAGAAGACAAUGUUAGGAUCAUAAAAGGUGAUGUUUGUAAAUUAUAUAUAUCACGAUAUAUCUUGUGUGCUUGGGAUUUCUGACAAUCAUUUCCGCUGAGGAUAUGCUCCAAUUCUCAGUUGCAAUUGCUUCCGUAGACUUUGCGGUUAGUAAAGUUUUACUGGUUCAUGGGGUUGGUUGGCACUUGAGAGUCAAUGCAUAAGUCAAGUAAUAUUGUACAGUCUUAGGUGGAUCUGAUCGGCACAUGGUGCUUAUUAAAUACUUCGAAGGAGGAUCAUCGUGGUUGUGCCUAUCGUAUGAUGCAUGUGUCGUAUUAACCAUCGCAUGUCUUUAUUGUGAUAACAUUGCAUUUAAUACUCUCUGUCAACAACUUGGAUAAUAAUUUUGGAAACAGAGGAUUAUGAACUGCUUUAUCUAGAAGUUCCGUCAAUUGAACAUUAAACGAAUAAACCCACAUGGCACACGUUCAUGAAUGGAGAAAUGAUAUGUGUAUGUAUGUUUUGAACACUCAUGAAAAGUUGGAUAGGAAACUAGUGGAAUGGUUAUUUGAUAAUCCAAAAUAGUGUGGCAGAUGAUCUGGGAAGUUCAGAGUCAGUCCAAAAUAAACUUCAACCAAAGAACUUUGCAGGGACAAAUACCAGUGUCCGAUAUUCAGUUUCGAUAGACGAAUGAUGAUAUAGAUAAAGUGGCUGUUGCUGUAACCUUCGUCUGGGAUCAGUCGUCCUUUCUUACUAUGUUCGGAUUGUUCAAUUCUUCAAAUAUUCCUUCUCAAGUGGUGGUUGACCUGGAGAAGAUGCUCCGACUCAUAGAGGUCUAUAUUUAUAGAACUUGUGACAAUCAAACACAUUAAUUGACCAUUAAAGCAAUAUAUUUUAGGUAAUCAAAUAUAAUAAUUAAUCAUUAAUAACGUAUAUUUGCAAAGCAUAAGACAAUCUGAUAUGUUAAUACCUAUUUAAUUGUCCAUAAAUGACAAUCAAUAUACUUCAUAUA